rnacentral:rRNA from 1 species
UGAACAUUCCUAAAACGGGGGUUUUAGCGGGAGGCCACGGCCCUCUCCAAUUGGCAGGCGUUACCUAAUAACCCCUGGAACCGGCGGUGGGACCGCCUCCGGAUUUGGGGGAAAAUAAAUUAAAACUUUCAACAACGGAUCUCUUGGCUCUGGCAUCGAUGAAGAACGCAGCGAAAUGCGAUAAGUAAUGUGAAUUGCAGAAUUCAGUGAAUCAUCGAAUCUUUGAACGCACAUUGCGCCCGCCAGUAUUCUGGCGGGCAUGCCUGUUCGAGCGUCAUUACAACCCUCAGGCCCCCGGGCCUGGCGUUGGGGAUCGGCGAGGCGCCCCCUGUGGGCACGCGCCGUCCCCCAAAUACAGUGGCGUCCCGCCGCAGCUUCCAUUGCGUAGUAGCUAACACCUCGCAACUGGAGAGCGGCGCGGCCAUGCCGUAAAACACCCAACUUCUGAAUGUUGACCUCGAAUCAGGUAGGAAUACCCGCUGAACUUAAGCAUAUCAAUAAGCGGAGGAA